UCUUAAAGCAACUUCUGCACUUCGGUCACCCUUCCAUUCCAGACUGCACCCUCGGCCCGCCUACAAGAAAACCGCAAAGCCAGACAAUAGAAGCAGGGCGAAGCUGAGAUCCACACAUCGGGGUACCACUUUCAGAUAAAAACAUGGACCUGAUUGGCAUCAUCUGGUAUCCAUGGAAACAUGUGCCCACCAAGGUGCCAGGGUCACUGAACUUAAAGGCCAGGAUGCAGAUCAAAGAGAGACUGAAAGCUGGAGUCCAGUUGGGUAUAUAAAGGCAGAAGUAUAGAUGCAGUUAAAAUUCCAAGCAGCCUUAAGCAUGGAAGAAAUGAGUCAAUUAAUGGACGAGCUUUUAGGCAAUGAUAUUUUGGAAGCUGUCUCUGUGUGAUUUGUUUACUGGUAAUGAGGUAAACUUAAUUAGUUUGGGCAAAUCUUGUGGUUUACAAGGUAAAUUAGUGACCAGCUUAUUUGCCAGCUAAUUCAGUCAUCGCUUUUCCAGACAGCAGGCUAUACCAUGGGAUUAAGAGGGGUGGAAUACUGUGAGUUACGGGGCAUAUUUCGAAUGUCGGAUAUUUCUAAUUUUCUCAAAAAACCCGACCCCCAAAGUGGAUUUUUUUAACCCCAGACAUAAAUCGAGCUAAGCUCCAAUGUGCAAAGAAAAACCCAAAUUGUAUAUGGAGUGCUCCCCAAUAACUGACAAGAACUUGACGUAAAUCUUGACGAUAUGUGAAUGCACACCUGCCCUUCCAUAGUAAAAGUGCCAUCUGGCAGGGCUCUGGUUGUCUCUUGCCAAGAGCCAUAGAGAAACCACUUUCAUUUGUUUAAGUGGGGACCUGUUACCUAUUGUUACCUAUUGUGCCUCCAUGCUACUAUCUGACUAUUCUUUUCACCAUUUCUACCCACUGUUAUUUUAAAAACUUAUUUUGAAACUUAUUUAGUUUGUGUUUCUUAUCUUCUGGAAGAUCAAUCUACAUCUAUUACAUAUAAGGUGGCGAAGUUUUGUUCUAAUGCUAUGUGGUUGCAUCAGUUUUUUUAUUUCAUGCAUAUGUUCUUCCUGAAUUUGUAGUUUAUAUUUAUAUUUUAUUGUUAGCAAUUGCUAGUUAAGUCUUUGAUUGGUACUGUAUGUGAUUGAUGUGAUUUUCUAGCAACCGUUAACCUCUUGUAGGUUUCCUU